UGCAAGUCCUGCUCCUUCGCACACAUCAUUGGACUCUCGCCGGGCAGCUCACCGGAUAGGACAGCGGAAUGAUAGCCGGGCUGAAGACCUUGCUUGACCAGCUGAGAGGAGGUGCAUGGCCGUCGUCAGUUCGUACUGUGAAGCAUCCUGUUUAGUCAGGCAACGAGCGAGACCCACGCCAACAGUUGCUAGCAUGUUCUCCGGAAUGAUGAGGACACUGUUGGGACCGCCUCUGCUAAAGAGGAGGAAGGAAUGGGCAACGGUAGGUCAGCAUGCCCCGAAUUAUCCGGGCUACACGCGGGCUACAAUGGUCAGGACAAUGGGAAACGGCACUGAAAAGUGUAGUCAAUCUCCUAAACCUGUCCCAAGUUCGGAUUGUGGGCUGCAACUCGCCCACAUGAAGCUGGAAUCCGUAGUAAUCGCGUUUCAAAAUAGCGCGGUGAAUAAGUCCCUGCUCCUUGCACACAAA
rnacentral:rRNA from 1 species